rnacentral:rRNA from 1 species
AGUGAACGCUGGCGGUAGGCCUAACACAUGCAAGUCGAACGGCAGCACAGUAAGAGCUUGCUCUUACGGGUGGCGAGUGGCGGACGGGUGAGGAAUACAUCGGAAUCUACUUUUUCGUGGGGGAUAACGUAGGGAAACUUACGCUAAUACCGCAUACGACCUACGGGUGAAAGCAGGGGAUCUUCGGACCUUGCGCGAUUGAAUGAGCCGAUGUCGGAUUAGCUAGUUGGCGGGGUAAAGGCCCACCAAGGCGACGAUCCGUAGCUGGUCUGAGAGGAUGACCACCCACACGGGAACGGGGCCACGGCCCAGCCUCCUCGGGGGGGCAGCAGGGGGGAUUAUUGGACAAUGGGCGCAGGCCUGCCCCACCAAUACCGGGGGGGGAAAAAAGGCUUUGGGGUUUAAAACCCUUUUUGUUGGAAAAAAAAAGCAGCGGGUUAAUCCCCCGCUGUUCUGACGGUACCCAAAAAAAAAGCCCCGGCUACCUUCGUG